rfam:Camelus ferus unplaced genomic scaffold scaffold1984, whole genome shotgun sequence.
GAGGGUAUAGCUCAAGUGGUAGAGCCCAUGCUUAGCAUGCACAAGGUCCUGGGUUCAAUUCCCACUACCUUCU